GUCUAAUUAGUUUAUAAAAGAUAUUAAAGUGUGGAUUUAAAGAAGAAUUUCAUUGGACA
rnacentral:tRNA from 1 species